CUAAACAUUAAGAAGCCCUAAAUCCUAUAAACAACAAAAAAAAAACCUCAAACCCAUUUUAAACCCCUACAAAAUCCUAAGUUGUAAACCCUAAGGUUCACUCUCUCGAGCUAAACCUCAUGUCGACCCUAAAACCCUAAAUAAAUCCCUAAACCUUAAACCCUAACCUAGAGUUCUAAAUCCUAGACUUAAAACCCUAAACUAUAAACCCUAUCAAGCCUUAAAUCGUAUAUGCUAAACCCUA
rnacentral:lncRNA from 1 species